rnacentral:rRNA from 1 species
ACACAGGGAGGUAGUGACAAAAAAUAACAAUACCGGGCUUUUAUAAGUCUGGUAAUUGGAAUGAGUACAAUUUAAAUCCCUUAACGAGGAACAAUUGGAGGGCAAGUCUGGUGCCAGCAGCCGCGGUAAUUCCAGCUCCAAUAGCGUAUAUUAAAGUUGUUGCAGUUGAAAAGCUCGUAGUUGGAUUUCUGGUAUGGUGCGCCUGGUCCACGGUUGCAAAACCGCGAGUAUCGGUGUGCGCCUGCCAUCUUUCUAGUUAACUGGACGCACUUAACUGGGCGGUCAGCGAUCUAGUUCUUUUACUUUGAAAUAAUUAGAGUGUUUAAAGCAGGCUUGCGCUAUGAAUACAUUAGCAUGGAAUAAUAAUUUAGGACUUUGCUUCUAUUUUAUUGGUUUCUAGGAGUUAAGUAAUGAUUGAUAGGGAUAGUUGGGGGUGCUAGUAUUCAUCGGCCAGAGGUGAAAUUCUUGGAUUCGAUGAAGACUAACUAAUGCGAAAGCAUUCACCAAGGAUGUCUUCUUUAAUCAAGAACGAAAGUUGGGGGAUCGAAGACGAUCAGAUACCGUCGUAGUCUCAACCAUAAACUAUACCGACUAGGGAUAAGGGGAAGUUGCUUUUUCGACUUCCUUUGCACCUUAUGAGAAAUCACAAGUCUUUGGGUUCUGGGGGGAGUAUGGUCGCAAGGCUGAAACUUAAAGGAAUUGACGGAAGGGCACCACCAGGAGUGGAGCCUGCGGCUUAAUUUGACCCAACACGGGGAAACUUACCAGGUCCGGACAUAGUGAGGAUUGACAGAUUGAAGUUCUUUCUUGAUUCUAUGGGUGGUGGUGCAUGGCCGUUCUUAGUUGGUGGAGUGAUUUGUCUGCUUAAUUGCGUUAACGAACGAGACCUCGACCUGCUAAAUAGUUCAACGUAGGCCUUGCCUAUGUGUGUACUUCUUAGAGGGACUGUUGGUUCAAAGCCAAAGGAAGUUCGAGGCAAUAACAGGUCUGUGAUGCCCUUAGAUGUCCUGGGCCGCACGCGCGCUACACUGAUACGUGCAUCGAGCUUACAACCUUGGCUGGGAGGCCUGGGUAAUCUUUUCAACGCGUAUCGUGCUGGGGAUAGAUUAUUGUAAUUAUUAAUCUUCAACGAGGAAUUCCUAGUAAGCGCGAGUCAUCAACUCGCACUGAUUACGUCCCUGCCCUUUGUACACACCGCCCGUCGCUGCUACCGAUUGAAAGCAUUAGUGAGCCUUGAGGAUCGUCUUUUCUGAGGGUAAAACUUCGGUCUAGAUGAGAAUCAAUACAAACUUGCGCAUUUAGAGGAAGCAAAAGUCGUAACAAGGU